UCAAGAUGCUCUAUGUUUG
rnacentral:miRNA from 1 species